AGACCGAUAGCGAACAAGUAGAGUGAUCGAAAGAUGAAAAGAACUUUGAAAAGAGAGUUAAACAGUAUGUGAAAUUGUUGAAAGGGAAGCGCUUGCAACCAGACUUGAGCGCGACGGUUCCCCUAGCCUUUUGGCUAGGUUACUCUGUCGUGUCCAGGCCAACAUCGGUUCUGAGGGCCGGUCAAAGGCCCCGGGAAUGUACCUACCCACGGGUAGACUUAUAGACCGGGGUGUCAUGCGGCCUCUCGGGACCGAGGAACGCGCUUCGGCUCGGAUGUUGGCGUAAUGGUUGUCAGCGACCCGUCUUGAAACACGGACCAAG
rnacentral:rRNA from 1 species